rnacentral:rRNA from 1 species
CAAUAGCGUAUAUUAAAGUUGUUGCAGUUAAAAAGCUCGUAGUUGGAUUUCUGGUCGGAAGCUCCUGUCCUCUGAUGAGCGUACAAGUGCGUCCUACCAUCCUUCUGUUAACCUUUAAGGCUUUCGCGGCUUUCUAGGGGCUCAGAUAUUUUACCUUGAGAAAAUUAGAGUGUUUCAGGCAGGCUAGCGCCGGAAUACAUUAGCAUGGAAUAAUGGAAUAGGACUUUUGCCUCUUCUGUUGGUCAUGAGGCUCGAGUAAUGAUUAAUAGGGAUAGUUGGGGGCAUUAGUACUUAACUGUCAGAGGUGAAAUUCUCGGAUUUGUUAAAGACUAACUUAUGCGAAAGCAUUUGCCAAGGGUGUUUUCAUUA